UACGGGGGGGGCGAGCGUUGUUCGGAAUUACUGGGCGUAAAGGGCGCGUAGGCGGCCAGCACAAGUCAGUUGUGAAAUCUCCGAGCUUAACUCGGAAAGGUCAACUGAUACUGUGCGGCUAGAGUGCGGAAGGGGCAACUGGAAUUCUUGGUGUAGCGGUGAAAUGCGUAGAUAUCUGGAGGAAUACCGGUGGCGAAGGCGGCAUCCUGGACCGACAUUGACGCUGAACGGCGAAAGCUAGGGGAGCAAACGGG
rnacentral:rRNA from 1 species